rnacentral:rRNA from 1 species
GACGAACGCUGGCGGCGUGCCUAAUACAUGCAAGUCGAGCGCUGAAGGUUGGUCUUUGUUCCGUAUGGAUGAGCAGCGAACGGGUGAGUAACGCGUGGGGAAUCUGCCUUUGAUCGGGGGACAACUGGGGGAAACGAAUGCUAAUACCGCAUAAAAACUUUAAACACAAGUUUUAAGAUUGAAAGAUGCAAUUGCAUUACUCAAAGGUGAUCCCGCGUUGUAUUAGCGAGUUGGUGGGGUAAAGGCUCACCCAGGCGAGGAUACAUAGCCGACCUGAGGGGGGGUAGGGCCCCAUUGGGACUGUGACGCGGCCCAAGCACCUAGGGGAGGCAGCAGUAGGGACGCUUCGGAGAUGGACGGAAGACUGACCGAGCGACGCCGGGCGGGUGAAGAAAGGUCUCGGGGCGUAAGACUCCGUUGGUGGUGAAGAACGUUGGUGAGAGUGGAAAACUCAUUUAGUGACGGUACCUACACAGAAAGCGACGGCUAACUACGUG